GCAACCUGAGGUGGCACUGAAGAGGGUCCCCAGCCCCACCCCAGCCCCAAAGGAGGCUGUUCGAGAGGGACGUCCUCCGGAGCCAACCCCAGCCAAACGGAAGAGGCGCUCUAGCAGUUCCAGUUCCAGCUCCUCCUCUUCAUCUUCCUCCUCCUCCUCCUCCUCCUCUUCUUCCUCCUCCUCUUCCUCUUCUUCUUCUUCCUCCUCAUCUUCCUCCUCCUCGUCGUCUUCCUCCCCUUCCCCUGCUAAGCCUGGCCCUCAGGCCUUGCCCAAACCUGCAAGCCCCAAGAAGCCACCCCCUGGCGAGCGGAGGUCCCGCAGCCCCCGGAAGCCAAUAGACUCCCUCAGGGACUCUCGGUCCCUCAGCUACUCGCCUGUGGAGCGUCGCCGUCCCUCGCCCCAGCCCUCACCACGGGACCAGCAGAGCAGCAGCAGUGAGCGGGGUUCCCGGAGAGGCCAGCGUGGGGACAGCCGCUCCCCCAGCCACAAGCGCAGGAGGGAGACACCUAGCCCUCGGCCCAUGAGACACCGCUCCUCCAGGUCUCCAUAAAUUGUCUUUGGGGGAUUCCACCACACCCAAUGCUCUGGAGCCACAAGGAGUGUCCCUUCUUCCCCAGCAGAGCCGUGGGAGGGUCCUUGUCUGCUCUCCUUUGAACCUUGGCAGCCCUUGGAUGGAGGGCUCCCUUUCCCUCCCCUUUUUUUUUUCUUUGUUCCUGUGAAAUGUUAAUCUCCGUGAGUUCUUCCUGGUUCAUGUGUUCUGGGGGGUUUGGGGUGGGAGGGAAUGCAGAUGGGAGUUGGGGGAGGGGAGGAUACAGUUCAGGAUACCCCAGCCUGGAGUCAGGGCCAGGGAGGCAUGGCCCCACUUGUAUCCAGAAGUUCCCAGGGGUGAUUGUGAUGGUGGUUGGGACUGGAGGUUGUAUAAGGUGUUCUUGGAAGGAAGGGGCAGGAGUUGGAAUUAGUUGGUCCCUACUGUCCCCCAUGAGGUUGUGAACCCCUCCCCCCAACUUUUCAUGUUUCUUAAAGGCAUUUUGGUUUUUUAAAAUCUGUACAGCAAGAGCAACUUUUUCUGUCAAAUAAAAAUGAGAAAUGC
rnacentral:lncRNA from 1 species